rnacentral:rRNA from 1 species
ACUACGGGUGGCUGCAGUGAGGAAUAUUGGUCAAUGGGCUUACGCCUGAACCAGCCAAGUCGCGUGAGGGAAGAAGUCUUUCGGGUUGUAAACUUCUUUUCUCAGGGACGAAGACAGUGACGGUACCUGAGGAAUAAGCCACGGCUAACUACGUACCAGCAGCCGCGGUACUACGUAGGUGGCAAGCGUUAUCCGGAUUGAUUGGGUGUAAAGGGCGUGUAGGCGGGAGCGCAAGUCAGAUGGGAAAACUCAGGGCUCAACCCUGGGCCUGCAUUUGAAACUGUGUUUCUUGAGUGCUGGAGAGGCAAGCGGAAUUCAGUGUGUAGCGGUGAAAUGCGUAGAUAUACGGAGGAACACCAGUGGCGAAGGCGGAUUGCUGAACAGUAACUGACGCUGAGGCGCGAAAGCGUGGGGAGCAAACAGGAUUAGAUACCCGAGUAGUC